UAGUGAUAUGGAGCGAAACCCGAAAAGCACCCCCAGUUCGGAUUGUAGGCUGAAAAUUCGCCUACAUGAAGCCGGAAUUGCUAGUAAUGGCAGGUCAGCAUACUGCCGUGAAUACGUUCCCGGGCCUUGUACACACCGCCCGUCACACCAUGAGAGUUGGGGAUACCCGAAGCCUGUGAGCCAACUAUAUAGAGGCAGCAGUCGAAGGUAGAAUCAAUGAUUGGGGUGAAGUCGUAACAAGGUAAC
rnacentral:rRNA from 1 species